UUCAUCAUCUUCCUCGUUCCACCUUUUGGUUUUCUUUCCAAAUACAAAAUACAAUGGUUCAACAUUUCAAUAAAAAAUCAGAAUUGCGAAUUGAGAAUGGGAACGAGGGAAGUCGGAAGUCAGAAUACUCAAGAAAAGUGUUUUGCAAAUUAGGAAUUCAUGAUUCCUAUAUCAACAGGUAUGACUCAAUUAGUUGUUCGGAAUGCUAAUUUCACUGUCGAAUUCACGAUUUGGAGCGUUCCCGGAACGCGUUCGUACCGCGAAUCGGUACGCUCGAUCCGGAUCGUAGAUCGUGGCCUAUUGAGCGAUUUAUGUGACUAUGAUCACUACUCACUAGAGUGUACGAAAAGAAGGAACAUGCUGAAGUUGAAUUCACUCAAGGUACACGCUAUGAUUCAGGCGUAACGAAGAGAUUCCACGCUAUGUUUAUAUUAGGGGACACAAGGCAAUGCAGGUCUUGGAAAGUUGCUUGAAGAUCAAGGAAUACGAGCUUUAGAGACGCAAAAUGGUGACGAACAGGUUAGAGGAAGGUAUUUUUACUUUCGGUUGUUCCAACGCCUGCCAAGGGACGGCUUGAUUCCGGCAGAAAUCAUGUUUGACGCUAACAAGCUAUGUGGAAGCUUGGAGGAGGAAGCGGGUCAAACGAAUCAAGAAGGAGAAGAAAAGCGUAAUUUGGAUGCGAGGCAAACGGAAAGUAUGACUAUGUUUUGCCAAGGUUGGCGAAAAGUAAUGCAAUGUAUUAGAAACGAGUCAAUGUUGACCCGUACCAGGAAUGUCUUAUGGAACUCCGGAUGAGGAUCAAGCAAGAAAGGAGAACCGAACACAUGUCUCGAAGCUUCCGCAACGAUCUUAUUUUGUUCUAGUUAAAAAAGUGGAUAUUGUAAACACUUGAAAUUAUAUUUUGGAAUGUUUUAAAUUAUGUAAGAAGUUUAACUUGGAAAAGUUUUUGUAAGCUUGCAUUUUCGUAUAAAAUGCGUGUUUAAUAUUA